GGCUAGGUGGCGGAGUGGUUAACGCGGUAGACUCGAAUCAAUUGAUUGUGAUCUACUUCCUUCGGGAGCGUCUGUUCGAAUCAGGCCCUAGUCG